UUUUCUAAAAGUGUUUGUAACAUGUCUAUGAGCUAAUUAGCACAGUUAAAUUUGUUAGUCCAAUUCAAAAACAGAAAGUAGGGAAUAAUGUACUGUAUCUUAGUUUAUAGGCCAAAGCAUUCUGAUGGAGUUGCCUAUCUUUUGCGCCAUCACUUGCAAAGGGUCAGCAUGCUACAACAUGUGAAAGAUAUGCGAUAUUUUUUUAAGAGGUACAAGCUUAUUUUUGAUCCUUAUUGUAGAAUUAUCAUGAAAGAUUAUUCACUUAACCAUCCUACCUUAAUUUCUUAUCUUUGCUUCAAUAUAGAUGUGUUUAAUACAUUUAAUGCAUCCCUUAAGCAUACCUUUCUUCCUUAACAUGCAGUAAAUUACCACUCAUGGUACUCUACCAAAUUCUUUCCUCAAUUCGAUAGAGACCAUGUUUAGAUUAUCUAUAAAUCUAUGAUUUGUUUCACAAACAAUAUUGCAGUCUCCAUUGUUAACCUUCUUUACAGUAGGCAGAAUUGGUUUUUGACUUUCGAGAAUUGUUAUCAUAUAUCCUGAACAUGUUCCAUGACUCUCCUAUAAAUUCAUAGCAUGCCUCCCACUACUAUGAUAUUGCAAAUUUGCUCCAUCUUUAUUCUUGUUUCCUCGUACCAAAAUACUAGAAUAAUUUGGCAUUCUCCUUGUUUUCAUGAUCUAAUUGUCUAGAUAGCAAACCAGGUUUACUUACUGGAUGAUUGUCGAUUGGAACAUUUUGGGCCUUGAAUGUUUACCCUUUAUCAUCCUCCUAGUGCAGUCUCUUCUUCAGUUUUUCAAGUCAAAGCAACCUUAUUUAUUUAUCAAUAUUUUCUAUUAAAGCCUUCAUCCAAUAAUUUCAGUACAUAACCUUUCUUAAUCUUGCCAACUCUUUUGAUACCUUUACUUUUGCUUUUCUCUCUAGCCUAGUUACUUUACAUAUUCUUUUUCAAUACAAUUGAAUCAUCUAUUUUUUUUAUGGAACUUCCAAAUUUGGCCUUAUUAGACCAUUGGAUUUUUCUUAGCUUUAACUAUGUUUUACUAGACAUUCCAACUCCAGGUCUUGCACUUGUCAUAAAAAAGAUGCUCAAACUACAAUAGACAUGAACAAUCAUUUCGAGUGCAAAAAAAAAUCUGCACAAGUUGAAUUAUUUUGAUGGUAUAUUCAAUUUGUUGUUGCAAAUUAUGUCGAGACAAUUUAGUUGCAGUGUGUAACCAUAUUCAGUAUUCUAUUGUUUCCCAUCAACAUUCUUAUACUGUAAUGCCCAAGCUUAUGAUUGAAGUUAUUCACGUGUAUCUCAGAUAAGAUGAACUUGGUCAAUAGAUUCUGAAUGUCAUUCAUUCAGUUAGCCAUAACAUACCCUCUCAGCAGUCAUAUAUUGUUUAGCGAUGAGCUUAUAAGGAAAGGAACACAUAAAUAGAAAACAUAUAAAAUAUACCAAGUUAAUGGAGACCAUAUAAUGAAUAGGAAUGGAGUUUUCAUGUUUCUUCCAAUAACAGCUAACAGACUUUACUGGUACUUGGUAGAAUGUGUGAAAUAGCAGUAAGAAAAGGUGAAACAAGCAUAUCGCUAUAAUAUCCAUACAUAAAUCAAUUUAUAAUUACCUAAUCUGGAUAUUCCUUAGCUUCCAUUUGCUUUCCACAUAACCUAAGUGCAAGCGCAUAUAUAUGUUUUCUUUUUGCCGAUGUUCCUUCAGCCACCAAUUUCACUGCCUAAACAUGCACUUGAGUUAGAAGGAAAAAAUAAACAAAUCUUUAUAAUAUUCAAAGCCUCAAUUUAAAAUCAUUACAAGAAUACUAAAUUGCCUAAACAAAAACAAUGCUAAUACUUCUAUUAAAAAAUGCAUAGGAAAAAUACAUAAGAUUUCAUCAUCUUAACAUAAAUCAAAUGUUUUUAAAGCCGGACCAGACUGGUUGGACCAGUUUAACCAGGACCCAGUCAUCUGUCCAAUCUGGCUCAAAGGAUAAAACCAGAAGGUGCUUCCUCCUCUCUCUCCUCGCCCUAGAGGCAUCUCUCGCCUCUCCUUCCACCCUAAUCCUACCCUCCUCCCCCGUUCUGAAGGAAGAAGCCUUUCAAGCCCAACACCAAAGCCAUCAAGUGGUGGCUUCUCCUCAAGGGCAUCUUCCACACUCCCAAAAUCCUCACCCUCCACUAAGCCAAGUAAGAACCAAUAUGGGGCCCAAAAGUGAAGGUUCAAUAUAACAAUUUUAUGGUCAAAUCUCAAAAUCAAAGUUUCCGUAAGGAAUUAGUUUUAUAUGAGGUUCAAUUAGAGAAGGGUUGAAAUAACUGGCAUAAGAGGUCACGAGUCAAAAAAAUGUUUGAAAAUUUAGGCUAAAGUAAUCAAUUCAAUAUGGAAAAUACCAAAUGUCAAAAUCUUCUAAUAACAAAGAAGAUAGAGUAAAAUGAAAAGCACAUUUUAUAUUUCCAAAAUGCUUUCAUAUUUCACAUAGUUUCACAGUUUCUUUCUUCCAAGGUUCACUUCCAACCUCAAGACCACUUGUAUCCUCAUUGCUAAUGCAACAAAGUUUGGAUGACAAUACUCAUAUCCUUAUCGCUAACACGAACAAGCCGUUCGUAUCUUUGAGGUCCACUUACACAAUUGGCUAGGGCACCAUAUAUAUCCUUAUCAAUAAUCGACUAAGGACAAACACACUACCUAGCCAAAUGUAUUCAUAUAUCCCCACCAAUAAUCUGAAUGAGGCCACUCUACUUGAGCAGGGGUCCACAUAUAUCAUUCAAGUAUUCUAGUAUUAUUUUUAGAUUCUACAAAAAUAAUAAUUGUCAUUCAGAAUUUUUAUUGGAAAGCUCCAAUGUAAACAGGUUCUGACAAGAAUAUAAUUUUAAGUCAAAACACUUGAAUAUGAGUUUCAAAAUUUUACUAAAAAAAACUUAAAUAAUUUCAAGACUUUCCAAUAGAAAUUGAAAGGAAUUCCUAGCUUUCAAAAUUAAACAAAUAUAAACAGAAAAAUGACAACAAGAAUCAAUAAAGGCAAGGUAAUUAUUAUAUUCAAAAGCAUGGAAAAGUUACUAUUAAUGUCCAUGAAAUCGGAAAAAUUCUUGUUCAAGUCUCAUGCUCUCUAAAAGCCUCCCACUAUUCCCUUUUUCUUACCCUAGCUGGGCCUUCUUAUGCCACCCUCUUAUAGACAUGUUAUGGCAGUUCACUAGGUUUUGUUGGUUAGGCCAGUUAAGUAAGCUAGUCAAACAAAUUGGUGACUUGACAGGUAGAACACCAACAGGGCCCUAGGAGACAGUACUUGUUUACAUGAAGUUAUGAAUACCAUUUAAGUAUUAAAUAAGACAUUACAUUUAAAUAAGGAAUUGUCCCCAAUAUGCAUUCAAUGAAAAUACUCCAUAAUUCGAAUUCCUUAUGAAUAAAAAGUUUAUUUUCUAGUUUCAGUACAAAUUCCAAAUUUUUCAGGGUUGGGUCAAAAUCACAACUUCUAAUUGCUAAGGCAUUUUUCAAAUCUUAAAGAACUCCAAAAAUAUAUUAUUUUCAAAGAUUGCUAACAUGCAGAAGUCCAGUAGAAAAAUAUAUACAUUUGUCCUAAGGACAUCAUUAACUAUAAUGCUAUUUAUAACAUAGCACACAUACAAAAUUAUAGACAUUCUACUUAUUCACACACAUGUAUGCCAAUUUGUCCAAGUAUAUGAUGGGCAUUGCAUUUUAUAUCAACUCCAAGUUGGCUUUCCAAAAUGUGUCAUUUUUCUCAUCUUUUUAAGUUGGCUCAUUAUCUUUGUUUUUAAUGUAAUCAGAAAGAUUCUAUAUGUCAAAAGGGAAUGUCCAAGAUUCACACACGACUCCCUGUUUUUAAUCUUUGUUUUUAAUACACAAGCCAAUGCCAACUGUCAUUUCUAUGAUUUAUUAUCAAGGAAUUUCAUCUCUUAUAUGUCAAAAGGGAAUGGACCUCUCUGCUUGCUAGCAGGACACCACUUGAUUUGUUUAAGGACUCAUCUUCUGACAGAAAUUCCCAAGCUUACAAAUCUCUGAUUAUCUCAUUACUGAUAGGCUAUAAAUCAGUAAAACCAUAUAGAUCUAGAUGUCUACUAAAAUAUGCUCCUUGAUGCACACUACUAUAUCAUCACAAAUAAAUGUUACUACAAAAAUAGUGGUAGUCAGCUAUCUUAAUGACUCAGAAGAUUUAUAAAUGAAACACCCACCCAAAAUUAAAAGUAAAUGAAAUCCGGUAGAACUAGAGAUGCUGAAUUCCCUGGAAUUCAAACAUACCAUGGAAAUACUGUGGCCAUUGGAGAUUAGUUCUCUCAGCUCAAGCUCAAGUUGAUCAUCAGCUGGAACUUCAGCAACUGACUUCGCUUUUCCUUCUAUUAAGAGUGUGAUUUCUCCCCUUGGCUGCUGUGUAGAAAAUAUUUUAUUUGCUUCCCCCAAAGUACCUCGCCAAAACUUGUAUGAUAGUUCAUAUUAGUACAUCAAGAGAACAGAAGAUGACCAACUAUUGUCAUCCAGAGAUAGUAUUACAAAAUGAAAAUGAUUCCAACAUUAUUUUACUAUAUGCACAUCUAAAUGCACGUAUAGGGAACAAAGUAGUGUCUUCUUAAAGGAUCUUAUGCUCGAAAGAUUAGAAGCAUGGUACGGGCCGGUUCAGCCCAUACCGGACCGGUCCGAUCCCUGAUCGGUCCGAUCCCUGACCGGUCCGAUACAGCGGUGGAAAACGGUACCAGCCCAUAUCGUCCCAUACCAGGCCCCAUACCGGCCUAUACCGAUCGGUACCAGCCUCCGUACCGGCCAGGUCAAAUUUUUUUUGGCUUUUGGAGGCCGAACCAGUGGGUACCGAUUUGGUACCGGUUCAAACCGGUCCGAACAGGUCCGGUGGCCGACCGGUACGCCUCCCGGUACCGGUUCGGCGAUUCUUGAUUAGAAGAGCAGUUAAAGGUAAAAUGACAUUAAAAUUUUGACUUGUAUGGCAAUGUACAUUUGGAUAGAACAAUUAUAGUCCAUCAGAACAUAUAAAGAUAGUGUGAAAUUGUAAAUAAAUAAUUAUUUCAACCAAAAAAUAAGACCGCUAGGACUCAAAAAGCAUUUAAAAUAGAUAAAUACGAGGAAAAAGCAGAAAAAAAAAUUAAUCCUCUUGAAAAUCCCUACAUACACUGUGCAUGUUUUGAAAAAAGGGCCAAAAUGGAAUGUUUGAUGUAUAUGGAAUGAACUGAAAUCAACCCUUUGAUAAUGGUGAAAGGAUAAUGCUUUAGUCCAGCAAAAAUGGCCUAAAGGGAACCAAUUUAUAAACCAUUUUCUAAUGCACUUACUAGGGUUGUUUUUUCUCCUAGAAAUAAACAGAAAAAAAAAAGAAUAAGAGUUUAUACUGAUCACUUUUUCUAUCCAUUAAAAAGUAUUGAAUGGUGUUGGCUGAUCUAAGCCCAAUUGAACUCACACAUAAGGAUUGAAGCUGAAUAACAAUUAAUUGUAAGAGCUGAAGUCCAAGUUAGGCACAUAUAAGAAAAAAAUAAAUCACCUGGAAUUGCAUCAUGUUCAAAAUUGACCUCCAUGCUUUUAAAUGAAUGCAAGUCUAAAUAAGGCAAUAAAAAGGGUUGAUAUUUAGGAUUUAAGCAGCCAAACUAAAAGGUUAAUGCAGAAGCUUUGAUAUCAAUUGAUGACAAAAAAGACCAACCCACGAUCUUCUUGUAACAAUAACCUCCAAAGGGAAUGACACAUAAGUAGAGAUAAGAUGAUAAAUGUUCUCACCACCUUCCAAGACAGACCUGUCUAAAAUGAUGAGGAACAACAGGAAUUUCCUCUUUGCAACUCUAGAUCCAAAUUCAUCAGCCAUUGAACAUUGAGAGCAUUAAUGACUAGCUCUUAACAUAACCUGAACAUUGAGCUAGAACUUGUUCAUGAAUUGAUGAAUUAUUUGCAUUUAUCUCAUUGAAGUUCUAUGAAAUCAAAGCAAACGUCUAUCAGUCUUUACGAAGUCUUUAUGCAACAAACAUUACAAGUGAACAGAAUCACUAGAGAGAUUUUAAGGCAUUCACAGAACACAUGCAAAUAGAAAGAUACUUGUCUUGACUCACUAGAUAAAAUUUAGUACAUAAUAUCGCUACUUUAAGAAUCAAAUAGUUAAAGACAAUAAGAUGUUCUGGUCCAAAAAGCAUCCAAAACCAUUGUCAAAAUUUGACAUAAAAGUUGUUUGUCAAAACAAUUGUACCUCUUCAUGAAGUUUCGUCAUCUCUCGUGCUAUAGCACAUGACCUAAUCAAUAUUCAAAAUGAAUUAAUCAUUUGCAAAAAAUUUUACAUCAUAAGUUAUAGUCAAGGCACAAUGGCAUUCAUGCAAAUAAUGUGAAGAAGCAUUUAAAGAUAAUGUAUUUUUUUGUUUACAUCAAAACCUAUAAAUAUUUUAACAUUUUGUCAUAUAUCACUUGUUAAUCAAUGUUGCUUGGAAACUAGGAUCAAGAACUCAUGAGAAGGGAUGGAUUACGAAGUUAAUGCCUUACAAGGCCAUGAUUUGAUGUAUGAGAUACACAUUUGAGGCAUUAAUGUGCAUAUUUUGGUGUUUUUAUUUUAGCAUUAGAUGUCUACAAGCUACAAAACACUUAAUAUCCAUAGUAUUAAUUAAUGAAACUAGACAGAUGAAAUUUAUAGGAAAGCAAAAAUUGCCACAAAAUUGAUUUAUUGAGUUUGGAUUUCUAACAAAAGGGUAAAGCUCCAUGUAUGAAAACCAUCAUUAGUAUGAUAUCUCAAAUUUUUAUGCAUGAAGGAGAAAGAUAAAGAUCACCUAUUCAUAAAGCAAAGAACAUAAACAAAGACAAAUCAUAUCCAAUUAUAAUCCAAGGUACAUGAGUAUUAGAUUCAACAUAUAGACUUGUUCCUACCACUUAUAUUUUAUUGAUUCACAAGUGUGAGAAGUAAAGGGUUCGAUGCUACAUUGAGAAGAUAAUGGAUUUGAAGGUUUUAAAUGAGAGCAAACAAUUAUCACCAUCUUAGAGCUACUAUAUAAAUGAAUAAAGGGAUAGAAGAUGAUACAUAUAAAAUCUACAAGAAAGAAUGAUGGAGUGGGUGUUCUCCCACAAUGUCUUGAAAUUGUCGCAUUCAUUAGAAGAUCUCAAAAUAUGUCUUCUAAUGACAACAUGGAGGAGAUGUUGUAUAGAUCAGAAAAAAUAAUUGAGCAAUCAUGAGGUUCCAUUCAUAUAAUAUGAGCAUGACAAAGAUGGGAAUGCUUAAGGUGGAUCUGUGAUUACAAUGAGUUAAUGUAUGUCUUAUCAAUUAAUGACUCAACGAAGAAUCAAGGGCAAUGGCAUAAGGAUAUGCAGAAAACUCCAGUAGCCCUGCAUGAGUAAGAUAUAAAUUGUUUCUCAAGGAUCAAGCUUAAUGGAUUACCCAAAAUUAAGAUACUUAUGAAAUAGGGUUUGGAAAAGCUUGUCUUGGUAGAAGACAAAAAGAACACAAAUAGGGCAGGCCAACCCAUCAAGCAAGUAGGCUAGCCCGAAAAUAAGGCCGGAUCAAUCUAUAGUUUAAGAUCUAUUGGGUUCGGCCAGGUCAAGAUUUUACGCCUAAAUUAAUUUUGAUCUAGGUCUAUGUUGAUCUGUACCCAACCUGACCUAAACCCAACCCAUAAAUUUAUGUAUGUAUAUAUUUAUAUGGUAUACAUGAAUAAACAAAGCAUGUAUACUAACUAUAUUAUUUAUUUGAAUUUGAAUUAGAUCAAAGGUCAACUACUUUCUUUUUUGGUACAACAACUACUUAAUUAAGAGGUGAUUUGCCAGGUCGAACUAUCUGGUUUGCCCAAGAAAAGAGUUCUAAAGAAAUAAAAUAAAAUAAUACAAGAAAGGAAACUUUUGUUUUAGGCAGAACUAACUCAUGACGAGCCAGGUCAGGCCCGAAUCUUACCUAUGCUGACUGGGUUAGGUUUCGGUAUCUUGGGAUACAACCAGGCCAAGCCGGGCUCUGACCCAGUCCAAUUCAUCGCCAAGCCAAGUCUGGUUGUCCUUGACCCAACUCUGACACAACAUAUCAACAUCCCUAAGAAGAACCCUUCCUCAAAGUAAAUGGUAAAAAAGAAUUCAUAUAGCCGAAUCUAAAUGAUUAAUAAGAGGCUUGCUACACCAUGCUAGAGUAACAAUAGUAUGAUUAGGAGGCAAAAGGGGAUAUAUGGAGAUUGGUGAGCUUGUUGGCAUCAUCCUUAUUUCAUUAGCAAUCGGGAGAAUAACUACAAAUUAAUCCUGGAAAAAGAAGUUGUACAAGUCAAAGAAACUAACUACAUAGAUGAAUCAAGAUGUCUAACCAAAUUCCUUCCUUUGGAAGAUUACUCACUAAUAGCCAAUGAAACAAUACAUAUGUACGCAUGUAUGUAGAGUGAGAUUACAUAGGGAGAUGCAACGCAUGCUUACAUACAUAUUCUCUCUCUCUACACAUGCACAUGCACAUGCACAUGCGCACACAUAUGUGCACGUUUGUGACUUCUGCAAAUCAUUUUUUUCUAUUUAAGUGUUUUGUGCUUAUUGUUGUCAUGUUGGAUGAAACUAUUUUGGAGGCUAAAGUGUAGGAGUUAUUUUUUUUUCUACUUGACCUUCAGGUUCAGCAAUGUUUAGAUGCAAUAAGAGUGUGUUAUUUUAACAUUGACACGUUUGUGACUUCUGCAAAUCAUUUUUUUCUAUUUAAGUGCUUUGUGCUUAUUGUUGUCAUGUUGGAUGAAAGUUGAAACUAUUUUGGAGGUUAAAGUGUAGGAGUUAUCUUUUUUCUACUUGACCUUCAGGUUCAGCAAUGUUUAGAUGCAAUAAGAGUGUGUUGUUUUAACAUUGAAAAUUCCUUGUUGUUUAAAACCCUAUUUGACCCAAACCAAAAAUCUUGAAUUUGUUCUUGGUCUAGCAAGUUGACCCUCUUAUUUUUUAUAAAAUUUGCACUUUAGUCUAGUUUUAUUGAACUCAAAUGGAGGGUAGUUCUUUAGUUAUUCAUAAUGGUUUAAGUAAAUGGCGAUAAAAAGAAUAAGAGGCCCUUUAUUUAAAUAAUAUUCAUGUAAAUAAAGUUUGAAUUUUCUGAAAGACUAGGUGGUAGACAGGCACCAGGGGACUGCCUAGCACCUAGGCCUGGAUGGACAUUGAAAGGUCAAGGCGGCAAAAAAUAAUAAAUUAGAAAACUACUAAGCAUAAAGAUAAAACAAAAAAUUAGUUGUCAUCCAAUAAAGAAAACAUAAUAUACCAAAUAAGAUGUAGUGAGUCAAUGAAAAGUAUCAACUUGGCAACAUCCAAUAGUUAUUGAUACAUCAAUCUCCUCCAUGCUCAAAUACUAUGCAAAAUAUUAAUGCCAGGGUUUAUGCUUGCUGUCUAGGCAGCCAAAGUUGGUUGUCUUGUAAAAUAUUGGAAGUUUAUCUGUUUACCUGCUGAGUCAAUCUUAUUCUAAUAAGGGCACCCAAGCAACUUAGGCCCUGUUAGGUUCUCAUAUAAACCUAAAUAAAUCCAAGUACAGUACAAUUUUUUAUCGGAUUUAUCUAGGUUUAUUCAGCCAAACAACUUUUUUGACACCUCAGUCCCGACAAAGGGUACCAUCAUACUUUCAGAAACCGUGGUAAGCCACAUUUUGGUACUUAUUCAGCUUUAACCAGGUUAAAACUAUGUAAAGGGGAGGGAUUGAAUAGUUUCACCUGGUUAAUGUGGAACAAGUACCUCUUUUGAUCAAGUUAUUCAAAUAUACUAGUUAACAUUAUCUGGGAACUAAACAGCCCUUCCUGAUGAUCUGUUUGAGUCAACCUAGAACCACCUCAUCAAAGGUGCCCUGCCAUGUCCUAUAAAUAGAGGCCAAUGGGCAAGGGAGAGAAAGGGCAGAGGGAAUAUGCUUUUUGAGCAAGAGAGAUAAACUGAUAAAGACAAAAGAUAGAACUAUAUGGAAUAGAAGAAGAUGAUGAAAGGGAAGUUCAGAUCAAGGAUUUUGUGUAUUUCAUUUGCAUUGUGCAAUAUCUCUUCCAUAAUGGUACAAUUUAGAAUUUGCUUUUUGUUUUUGAGUCUUAUAUUGUCAAGUUUAUAGUUGUUUUUAAAUUCUAAAUUCAUAGUCAGUUUGAAAAUCUACAUUUCCUUUGUAAGUAUCUGAGCCCUACAUCUUAUAUAAGAUAUAUCCUAUGUUUAUCAGCCUUGUCAACGGCAACUCUUUAUGCUGCUUUGAAACUAGAAAAACAUUAGUCAAUUUGAAAAAUAGGGAUUUUUACUUCGAUCAAACAUUCUGAACUGUGGUUGGCUUCAGGUUUAUGGGAUAUAGUCAUGUCAAAAACCCUAUGGUCACUUCAAAAACUUAUUGUUUCUUUCUAAAUUUUGAUCCUCAAAGUUUAAAUUAGAGUCAAUAGAAGUUCUAGAAAACUAUAAUUAGUUGCCAAAACAAUUCAUUUCUAUUUCGAAAAUUCCUAAAUUAUAUGAUUCCCAAUUUAAUAUUUUUGAACUCACGUCAACUAAUCAGACUUGAAGAUCUGUUCUUAUUAGAAUCUUCUGCAUCUAUUGGUACUCGAAUUUUUACUCUCUGUGGAGCUUGGAGCUUUCUAAUUACUAAUUUAUACUGGCAUAUUUGAAUUUCUAUUUUUUUUGAAACAAGACAUCAUACUUAAAGAUAUAUGAGGACAACCAGCUAAUAGGUAUUUUGGCUCCAUUUGAAUUAUAGAUGAGCAUAUAUGAGGAUUCCAGCUGGGUGGCAUAUUUCGCCUCAUUCAAAUAAUCAAUUAAGGAUAUAUGGGAACCCUUGCCCAAGUGGCAUAUGUGAACUUUGAGCAUAUACAGUCUCAUAUAGGAUGUCAGCUAGAAUAUAUGCGAUCUCAUCAAUAUCAACAAUUCAGAUACAUGUUGCCUUGAGGGUAUAAGCGACCUUCGUAAGAAAGUAUGAUCUUAUAUAAUUAUUUGAAGUUUUGAAGUCUUCUUUACAAUCAUAUUUCUAAUGCUUUCAUAGUUUGUCUCAAUCGUUAUCAGAAAAUUCCAGUAUUUGGUACAUCAUCAUAAAACUGUCUCAUCAAACCAUCAGUUGAAUUUUCUGGUGAUAAAUUGACUUAUUUUAUGUUUUAAAAUCAUUCCUUCUCAGUGGAAAAUUCUUGUGACUAGGUAAAACUAUACUUACUGAGCUAUGUAGCUUACUCCACUUACAGUUAAACCUUUUCAAUAUAACCUGUUUUAGUUGAGAUGGACUUUCAGAAGAAAAUUGGACUUGGCAUUUGGUGUGCACUUUCAUCUACUCAUCAUUGUGGUAACACUGCUGAUAUAGUAGUUUGGCAGCAUAUUGUUUGUAAUAUUGAAAGGAUAUUAUGUAUGACAGGCAAUGUUUCAAUUGUAUGACUGGAUGUUAUCUUAAAUUAUGAUUUAUCCUGCAUUUCUGGC
rnacentral:lncRNA from 1 species